ACGGGCAAGACUAUCACCCUUGAAGUGGAGUCUUCUGAUACCAUCGACAAUGUGAAGUCAAAAAUUCAGGACAAGGAGGGAAUUCCCCCCGACCAGCAGCGGCUGAUCUUCGCCGGAAAGCAGCUCGAGGAUGGACGCACUCUGGCUGACUACAAUAUCCAGAAGGAGUCAACCCUGCACCUGGUACUCCGCCUGCGAGGUGGAGCGAAGAAGAGGAAGAAAAAAACCUAUACGAAGCCGAAGAAGCUGAAACACAAGAAGAAAAAAGUGAAGCUCGCUGUGUUGCAGUUUUACAAGGUGGAUGACUCCGGGAAGGUGCAGCGGCUGCGUAAGGAGUGCCCUAACCCUGACUGCGGGGCGGGUACGUUCAUGGCGAACCACUUCGACCGACACUACUGUGGGAAGUGUGGUCUGACCUACGUGUACCAGAAGGCCGAGGCUUGAUUGGGCUGAACUAUGUUCUGGAUGAGAGGAAGUGGGCUUGAAGGGUAGUGAGAUAUCAUGUGCAGGUGCUAGUUAGAGGCAGUGUUUACUUCAGUGGCCAAUUACUUAAUAGAUCACAUAUGAAGUAAAUUUUUUUGAGUUUCACGCAGUAAUCUGCU
rnacentral:lncRNA from 1 species